GGGUCUAUAGCUCAGCUGGGAGAGCGCUUGCAUGGCAUGCAAGAGGUCGACGGUUCGAUCCCGUCUAGCUCCACCA
rnacentral:tRNA from 1 species